AGAUGGGAGGGCAGCCGGCUGCCACAUCUGUCCCCUACUGAUUAUUCUCAUCUGGAUUGCUAGAUGGGGUUCCUUUCUCUCUCCACCCUCCGCCUACAUUCCUCCCAAAGCUCAAUCAGAAAGGAUGACAUCCCCAUAUAGAGUAGAAAUCAUCUUAAGACAGAGAAUUCAGGUGGUUGAAUUCCUUGGAAAGACUUCCAAAAUUAGCUUUGCUUUUGGGGCAGAUAACUUCCUUUAAUUUGCUUAAAUCCUUUUAUUAUUGUUAUUUUAAA
rnacentral:snRNA from 1 species